rnacentral:tRNA from 1 species
GCCCUGGUGGUCCAGUGGUUAGGACUUUGAGCUCCUACUGCAAGGGGCACAGGUUUGAUCCCUGACCGGGGGA